rnacentral:rRNA from 1 species
UACGUAGGGUGCAAGCGUUAAUCGGAAUUACUGGGCGUAAAGCGUGCGCAGGCGGCUUUGCAAGACAGAUGUGAAAUCCCCGGGCUUAACCUGGGAACUCGCAUUUGUGACUGCAUGGCUGGAGUGCGGCAGAGGGGGGAUGGAAUUCCGCGUGUAGCGGUGAAAAUGCGUAGAUAUGUGGAGGAACACCGAUGGCGAAAGGCAGCCCU